CCUACGGGAGGCAGCAGUGAGGAAUAUUGGUCAAUGGGCGCGAGCCUGAACCAGUCAAGUAGCGUGAAGGAUGACUGCCCUACGGGUUGUAAACUUCUUUUAUAAAGGAAUAAAGUGAGGCACGUGUGCCUUUUUGUAUGUACUUUAUGAAUAAGGAUCGGCUAACUCCGUGCCAGCAGCCGCGGUAAUACGGAGGAUGCGAGCGUUAUCCGGAUUUAUUGGGUUUAAAGGGUGCGCAGGCGGCCUGUUAAGUCAGCGGUAAAAGCCCGGGGCUCAACCCCGGCGAGCCGUUGAAACUGGCGGGCUGGAGUUGGAGAGAAGUACGCGGAAUGCGCGGUGUAGCGGUGAAAUGCUUAGAUAUCACGAAGAACUCCGAUUGCGAAGGCAGUUCACUGGACUGCAACUGACACUGAGGCACGAAAGUGUGGGUAUCAAACAGGAUUAGAUACCCUGGUAGUC
rnacentral:rRNA from 1 species